rnacentral:rRNA from 1 species
CAGCAGCCGCGGUAAUACGGAGGGGGCUAGCGUUGUUCGGAAUUACUGGGCGUAAAGCGCACGUAGGCGGCUUGGUAAGUUAGAGGUGAAAGCCUGGAGCUCAACUCCAGGAUUGCCUUUAAGACUGCCGAGCUAGCAGGUGAGAGAGGUAAGUGGAAUUCCGAGUGUAGAGGUGAAAUUCGUAGAUAUUCGGAAGAACACCAGUGGCGAAGGCGGCCAUCUGGGACAACACUGACGCUGAGGCACGAAAGCGUGGGGAGCAAACAGGAUUAGAUACCCCCGUAGUCCCUGUCUCUUAUAC